rnacentral:lncRNA from 1 species
CUGCUCCGGUGCGGCGUCAUGUCGAAAAAGGGGCAGGCCCUGAACGUGUGCUUCGAGGGCGCCGAGGACCUCCCCGGCGGCGGCGGCUCCAAGUACGGCACGAGCGUGAGCCGGGAGUGGGCGAUGGACCCGUCACGCGACAUCAUCCUCGCCUACGCGCAGAACGGGGAGCCGCUGCUGCCGGACCACGGCUACCCGGUGCGCGUCCUCAUCCCGGGAUGCAUCGGCGGCCGCAUGGUCAAGUGGGUGCGGCGGAUCGUGGUCACCACCGCCGAGUCCGACAACUACUACCACUUCAAGGACAACCGGGUGCUGCCGUCCCACGUCGACGCCGAGCUCGCCAACGCCGAGGCAUGGUGGUACCGCCCAGAGUACAUCAUCAACGAGCUCAACACCAACUCCGUCAUCACCACCCCGGGGCACGACGAGAUACUACCCAUCAACGCCUUCACCACACAGCGCGCAUACACCAUCAAGGGAUACGCAUACUCAGGUACGUCGUCGUCCUCCUCCUCCAUCCAUCCAUCCGUUUCAAUUUUUUUUUAUUAUACGUUCUUUUUUUAUUUUAGAGAGGAAAAAGGUCAGAACGCCAAGGAUGACGCGAUAUAAGAGCCAGCAUAUGAUAUACUUGCUUCCGUAGCAUUGACCAUAAGACUCGAUUAGUAUAUACCACACCUUGUGUGUUAGGAACGCAAAGGAGAAGAAAAACUCAACUUAAUGAGAGGACGUCUGACCAAGCACAUAUAGAUACACACAUAAUGCAUUUUGUUAGAUGAUUGACAUUGGCAUGUAGCGUUUGAAAAUGGCAUGCUUGAGUGAGACAGUCCCCUUAUUUUCUACUGCUAACAGUUGAGGGUGGUGGCAGCCACUCAUUGUACGUUUUAUUACUUAUUUUAUUACUCCUAACAUAACACUAGUAGUUGCGUCGCGUGGCUCCAAAACCUUAAUCUGCCAAGGAAAGCGUAUAGAUAAAACCCAUGCAUGCACUUUUUUCUUUCUUUCUGCCAAGGAAAGCGUAUGGAUAAAACCCAUGCAUAUGCAUGCAUGCACUUUUCUUGUGGCUCUGGGGUCGUUGGCACUUGGUGACCCCCAAAAGCUAGCUAGGCUGCUUGUAGCUGCCGGACUGGAUGCAUGCCAUGCCAUGCCAUGGAGUAUAAAACAAGAAGAAGGAAACGUUGCUAGCUAGCUCUAGCUCUAGCUCUUGGAAUAGUCAGCCUGACACAGGGCACGGCCAUGGCAAGGUCGUACCUGGUGCAGUGUCGGCUCUGAGAACAAAGGCAAACUAUAGUAAGCCCAUAUGAUUGGACCCAUCCAGAAUUCAUUCGUGUGUGUGGCCAACCGCAGCCAGAAGCCUGAUUUUUCUCCUAUCUAGUAGUAGUAGAUCAACAGUAACUCUACUAGUAGUACACCUGCUGGUUUCGACGAUAGUGCAUGCUUCCUUCCUUGUUAGGUUCACACGUGCUCAUACUACACACACGUAACGUACAGUGCAACGGCUAAACGUAUCCGCUUUACGAAUAAAGCCUAGCCGAAAUUCAACAGGGGUAGUAUUGUGCACAAGAAAAGGUCCAACAAAAGACACAAGAGAGGGACUAAGUCGGAAAAAGGUAAACUUAGGCAUCGGAUAUGACUUGUUGCCAAGUCAAAAGCAACCCAAGAAAGCAUGCACUUCCUCCCCAACCAAUCAUCAGCGAGUGGAAUCGGAAUCUUAGCAUCAACAUGUGAUAUGUGAUGUACUCUACUUACUGAAUAUUCCAACUUGGGCAUAAGAGAGCGUGUCAAAUGUGAAUACGGUCGCUCGCUUGCUUUUUUGUUUAAUCGGAAAAUGAUGUGUCAUUAGCUCACACGGCAGUAAUUAACUAAGGAUUGGCUUCAUGGAAGUCGUCUGGAAAAGUCAAAAGCAAGCAAGUAUGCAACUGAAGAAAGCCCCGCAUACCCUUUCUUGUCUUUUUAAAAUAAGAUAAGAAAAGAUAAAAAAAAAUUACGAGCUCUCUCUUCUUCACCGCAUUGAUUUAUCCUACGUGACACUCCUAACAUUCAACAAUAGCUAACGAGUCACCAACUCAUGAUCUUUUUUCUUGUUGUUGUUGUGGUUUGUAGGCGGUGGCAAGAAGAUCACACGAGUGGAGGUGACGCUGGACGGCGGCGAGAGCUGGAUGCUGUGCACGCUCGACAUCCCGGAGAAGCCCAACAAGUACGGCCGGUACUGGUGCUGGUGCUUCUGGUCGGUAGAGAUCGAGGUGCUGGACCUGCUGGGCGCCAAGGAGGUGGCGGUGCGCGCGUGGGAUCAGACCCACAACACCCAGCCGGAGAAGCUCAUCUGGAACCUCAUGGGCAUGAUGAACAACUGCUGGUUCAAGAUCAAGGUCAACGUGUGCCGCCCCCACAAGGGCGAGAUCGGGCUGGUGUUCGAGCACCCCACGCAGCCCGGGAACCAGACCGGCGGAUGGAUGGCGCGCCAGAAGCACCUCGAGACGGCCGAGGCGGCGGCGCCGGGGCUCAAGCGGAGCACGUCCACGCCGUUCAUGAACACCGCCGGGGACAAGCAGUUCACCAUGUCCGAGGUGCGCAAGCACGGGUCCAAGGAGUCGGCGUGGAUCGUGGUGCACGGCCACGUCUACGACUGCACCGCCUUCCUCAAGGACCACCCCGGCGGCGCCGACAGCAUCCUUAUUAACGCAGGAUCCGACUGCACCGAGGAGUUCGACGCCAUCCACUCCGACAAGGCCAAGGCGCUGCUCGACACCUACCGCAUCGGCGAGCUGAUCACCACGGGGACGGGGUACAACUCCGACAACU